UGUAAUAGUUUUGACAAAGCCUAAAAGACAGAAUACAGUACAAGGGAAACAAAUCAAAAAUUUCAUUUCAUUUCAAAGUUUAUUAACUCGACAUACAGUCAUGAUGUUUAGUUUACUUUAAAAAUUUAAAAUUUCUGAAAUUGAGAUAUCAUGAAUGUAAUCAUAUUGCAAAUGAUAUACAGAUAUUAAAAAACCCAAUUUAAUAAACAUAUUGAUAUUAACAUUUUAACUUUAUGCUUCUAGCCUUUUAUCAGGUUCUACAGUCACUUAAAUAAUAAUAAUAACAAAAAUACUAAUAACAAUAAUAAUGAUACUGUCCAGAUGUCCUAUCUGAUGUGUUAUACUGAAUACUCAGUACGUUCCCAAAUACUUGCGGAAACAAAUCUUACAAGUGAUUCAGGAGAGAAUCGAACCUAUGACCUCCAUAACUAGUGUGGCGUCUUAGUGGCUAGUGCUGAAUCCGAUCACCAAUUAGCAGUGGGUACUUCAAUGUUAUUCAAGUAUUUGGGAAUGUAUCGAGUGUUCAGUUCGUUAACAUGUUAGGUAGGACACAUUUCCUUUCAAAUUUCCAGAUAAAAUAAUCAGAUACUAAUGAUGAUGAUAAUAACAAUGAACAACAAUCGACCGAUGAAGGUUCAUAACGUAAAAUGUUACAACACCGGUUAAUUAUAAGUUUAACUUCAGUGGCGUAUCUAGGAGUACUGAAAUGGGGGGGGGGUCACAUGUAGUGAAUUUGGAAUGGGGGAUCGAUGAUUAAGUGUGGGGGAUAUUUUAAGGUUAUCUUUAACUACUUCAGCGUAAUUUUUUUUUGCUUUUACAUUUUCAAUGGGAUGGGGAACUUUUUUGGGUGGGGGUAGCAUGUGCUCCGUUUGCACCCCUAGAUAUGCCAAUGGUUAACUUUGUUUUCUGCUUUAUCCAGAGAUAUAAAUUUAAAUUUUACUAAUAAUAAUAAUAAUAUUAACAAUAAUAAUUUAGCGUCUAAAUGGCACAUCCACAACGACAUUUCACACCACUUAUAUUCAUCCUUGUGCCUAAAUACCUUUGCCUAAAAUUAGCGUCAUUUUUUCAUCGGUGAGAUAAAAAUAUCAACAUUUCUCGGUGCGGAUUAUAAAUACAUUUAAAUUUCUUUCAACCUCUGCUUCAUAGUUAAAUAUAAUGUAAAUAAUUUGUUUGUUAACUUGGAAAUGUUUCAGUGAAAUGUUAAGUACAACUGUUUGGAUGGACAAAUAUACAUGGCGAUUAAAAUGACAACUUGAUAUUCUAUAAAACCAGGGGCGGACUUAGAAGGGGGGGGGGUGCCCCGGGCCUCCUUUUAGAAAGCAAAAUUAAAAAAAAAAAAAAAGAAAAGAAAAAAAAAAAAGAAAAAAUGAUUGCCCGAAGCGCCUAAGAGGUUAUUUUCUGGCGUCUACAACACCAAAUGUUCGACGGGGUAUGCCCGUAGGGUAGUGUUGUCUCUCAAUCGGCCCACUUUCGACCCCCUUUCAGACAUCUCUGGAUCCGCUACUGAAAACCAUAAAACAAAGCAAAAACUUAAAAGACUUAAAAUGGCAAUCAUCUGAUAAAUCUAAAAUGUCUCUGUCUCUUUUCGGAGGUAUGCAGAAAUAAAAUAAUAUAUGGGGCAUGCUAUCCUAAAAAAAUCUUUAAAAUGAUGGAUCAUUUACUAGAAUCAAAUUAAUAUAACAAAAGAAUACGAAAUUAGAAAUUACAAUGGCUUGUCUGUACUGAAGUUAUACUUCACUUAAUGCUAGUUACUUGGAUUAACAUAAAACGACAGUAUGCUGGAUUGGGAUGACAUGCCUCAUAUUAUUUGACAUUCAGUUUUGGUAAAAUUUUUUCCACCUGCUUUGCAGUUAGUUUUCAAGAACUCAUUAUCUAUGCUUUCAACCCUUUUCAUGUGUGUGCAUAUAAACAGAACUAACUGCCUAUGGUUACUGUGUAAACACCAAAAUGUUGAUUCAAAUCUCAUUUUAUAGUAAAAUGAGGAAAUAAAAAUCCUUCAGACGAAAAUAAAUUGGCUGAUUUUACAUAAUAGCUUAUUUUUUAAUACAUUUCCUUCUAGAGUUCAUUGCUCACAUCAAAAGCUAACACAAUGUAUGAAAGUACAGUAGAUCAUGUUAGUUCGUAAAGCCACAAAGUGUGUUAAAAUACAAUACAUGCUGUUGUUACCGACUUUUGUGUGGGAAGGAAUACUAAAGUGCUUGUGAACCUAUACGCCCUUAUUUUUAAUGUUUUCACAAACUGACAUAAUCUUAUCUUUCUUUGUUUUCACAAACUGACACAAUCUACUUUGAUUGCCUUAGUUUGUGAUGUGAGUGAUGAGUUGUCAAAGGCAAGUCUUCAAAAUUUAGUCCAUUGCAAUAAUAGUCCUAUGCUUUAACACUACAAUUUGAGCAUUAUUAGCACCAUUUUUAAUUGCGGACAUAAUGUACAACGCUCAUUCUUUACUACCAAGCUCGAAUAAAUUAUAAACAUCUUACCACUAAGCUCCUAAUUAAAUGUAAAACAUUUUUUCUAGUAAUCCUUGAACCCCCUUCCUUUCCCACUUUUUAAAAAACUUACAGUAACUUUAGUUAUGAAUAUGAACUUGAAUCAGUUUCAAAAUAUUUAGUCUUUUGUGGAAGAUUUUCAAUGACAACGGAAGAACAAAAUAAUAAGAUUAUAAAAUUUUAAAAUGAAUGGAUUUCUUUGUAUGCAUCUUUAGCAAUGUUGAAAUAAUUUAAUUAUAUCGUCAGCAAUGCAAUAAACCCAAUUAUAAGAUCCGUAAACAAACCUAAAUUUCAUAUAAAUCAUUAAUAGUUAUCAAAAUGUCAACAAUUAGGAAAUUUCAUACAAAUAUUUACUUGGAACUUGAGGAAAAUGGGCAAGUUGUUAUGAGCAUUCAAUGACGAUGUAACAUAGCUGGUUUUUGAUACAGAUAACAAACAUUCAGUAAUUACAUAGACAAUUGCAGUCUAGUCAUGUUUCUAACUAUAAAUAUAGGCCCUGAAUAUGGCUGGAAGGGUCCACCCUCUAUAAAUUUGGUAAAAAAAAAAAAAAAGAAAAUAGUUGUAAAACAAUAUAAAAGAACAAAUAUAGUAAUAAAUUUGGAGAGAUGUACUUUUGUCAAUACUUGAUGAGGUCUCGCAAAAGACUCUUUCAUAGCAAAGGGGCAGCUAUCACAAUUACAUCUACACAACAGAGCAGUCUGCAGUUGACUCAGUUAAUACUACAUAUCAUGCAAAUUCUCCUUACAGGUGGAUUUAUGGUUUGGUGGUUAAGAUGCUUGCAUUCAAAUCUUACAGUCUGAAAACUGAAAAAA